rnacentral:rRNA from 1 species
UACAGAGGGGGCAAGCGUUGUUCGGAAUUACUGGGCGUAAAGGGCGCGUAGGCGGCCUUCUAAGUCGAACGUGAAAUCCCCGGGCUCAACCCGGGAACUGCGUCCGAUACUGGAAGGCUUGAAUCCGGGAGAGGGAUGCGGAAUUCCAGGUGUAGCGGUGAAAUGCGUAGAUAUCUGGAGGAACACCGGUGGCGAAGGCGGGUCUCUGGGCCGAUACUGACGCUGAGGAGCGAAAGCGUGGGGAGCGAACAGG